AUUGAACGCUGGCGGCAGGCCUAACACAUGCAAGUCGAACGAGAGGCGGACGGGUUAGCUAGGUCUGGGAAACUGCGUGAUGGAGGGGGUUCACUACUGGAAACGGUAGCUACUUCCGCAUUGCUUCAGCUGUGCCCGGUUGGGAUUAGCUUGUUGGUGGGGUAACGGCUGACCAAGGCGACGAUCUCGAGCUGGUCGGAGAGGAUGAACAGCCACACGGGAACUGAGACACGGUCCAGACUCCUACGGGAGGCAGCAGUGGGGAAUAUUGCACAAUGGGCGAAAGCCUGAUGCAGCCAUGCCGCGUGUGUGAAGAAGGCCUUCGGAUUGUAAAGUACUUUAAGCUGGGAGGCGUUACCAACAGAAGAAGCACCGGCUAACUCCGUGCCAGCAGCCGCGGUAAUAC
rnacentral:rRNA from 1 species